GUUUUAGAUCGUGAACUCUUCUUUAGUGGGAUUAUUUGAGAACAUUGCAUGGCCUAGGAAGAGGAGAGUCCCUCAGAGAGGCUCUGCCUUUAUUUUCAUCAUAAAUACAAAAGGUCAGGUUCUCCAGAAGCAGAUGCAGAAAUAACAUCUAGAGUGUGGGGUGUUGAUUAAGGAUGAAUUUCUGUGAGCAGAAGAGAAAAAAGAGGAGAUAGAGGAAGAAGGUGAACUUCCUCGUGGGAACAACCAUGCCUCAGUAACCCCAGGAUCUCCGGAGGGAGGACUGGACAAAUCACACCUAACAGCGUGUCCUGUGUCACAGUAAAAUGGGCAGGUAUGACUUUGCAUCAGCUGGUCAUAAACACCCCUCACAAUGAUGAAAGCAAUGGACUCUGUCUCUGAAGAGAAAUGUGUGAGUGCCCACUGAUAAGUAUGUCACCAACAACUUCAAAAAUUGUUCAUAAGUGUUCCAAAACCCGCCCACAAGUUUUUACAGUGGAUAAACCUAAUUAGGGUUAACUUGACAUUGAAUUUUAUUUUCUUACUGCAUUUAAAUUCACAUCCAACUGUAUUUCAAUAAAAUCUCAAAAUCAAAAUGAU
rnacentral:lncRNA from 1 species